rnacentral:sRNA from 1 species
UUGUUUUACGAAUUUAUUUGUUUAUAAUUUGGUAACAUAUAGAUAUUUAAAUAUUCGGUACAUUUUGCUUUAGUUUAGGAAAUCUUUGAUGACCCGUCUUUAGAUCCAAUAAGCCCUAUAAUAAAAAAAUGAAUAUUGUAGUUAAAUGAUUUUGGUAACCUUAAUGACGUUAUUAAAAGAUU